GUGGCUGAUCGUGAUCCUCGUGGUGGCCAACAGUGAAUUCAGGCUAUUGGGUCAGUGAAGUCUCCUCAACAGCAGCGCUGCAGGAAGAAGGGCUGCAGCAGCAGCACAGAGACAUAGCACUGAGCAUCCUGUCGUUCUCCUACAUCUGUGUCAUACAGCUCUUAAGAUGUGUCCUAUACAGACAACAUUCCAGGGACCUUUCCAGCCUACGUUGCCAGUUAUUAGGUGGGAGGAUGAAGCUAUUUUCAAAUCUGAGACUCUGAUGUAAAACUGUGCAGAUUUCUGAAUACACUGGAGAUGUGUGUGUUUGCACCAGCCCAUGGAAUGCCCAUGAGGGUGUUUCCUGAAGCUUAAGGAGGGUCUGAAUAAGUGUUGACAUGAUGUUUAGUCACAAAUUGGCUGGACAGUUCCAAGCAGAGAGCCAGGCAAUGAUGGACAGCAUGGGCAACUUGUAUCCAAUAGCUUUUAUGGAAAUUCCUGCCUUUUUGAAAACAUUAACUGAU